AUUAAACGCUGGCGGCAUGCCUUACACAUGCAAGUCGAACGGCAGCACGGGGUGGUAACACUCUGGUGGCGAGUGGCGGACGGGUGAGUAAAGCAUCGGAACGUGCCCUGGAAUGGGGGAUAACGUAGCGAAAGUUACGCUAAUACCGCAUAUUCUGUGAGCAGGAAAGCAGGGGAUCGCAAGACCUUGCGUUCGAGGAGCGGCCGAUGUCGGAUUAGCUAGUUGGUGGGGUAAAGGCCUACCAAGGCGACGAUCCGUAGCGGGUCUGAGAGGAUGAUCCGCCACACUGGGACUGAGACACGGCCCAGACUCCUACGGAGGCAGCAGUGGGGAAUUUUGGACAAUGGAGGGAACUCUGAACCAGCCAUCCCGCGUGCAGGAUGAAGGGGCGUCUGCCCUGUAAACUGCUUUUGAAUGGGACGAAAAAGCCGUACACUUGUGAGGAACUGACGGUACCAUUAGAAUAAGCACCGGCUAACUCCGUAGCCAGCAGCCGCGGUAA
rnacentral:rRNA from 1 species